CCUACGGGUGGCUGCGCUGAAUCUGGUAGUCGCGCGCGAAGGCGAGGAUGUUGUUGCGGAAGACGUUCGUCUCGCCGUAGUGCUGAUGGAACCCACCAUGCGUCGUGCGGUAAACGACAUUGUUUUCGGCCAGGAUGCCGCUGCUGCCUUCGUCGAAGUAGAUGCCCCAGCCGCCGUAGCGGAUGCCGGCGAUGUCAUGCCAUAGAUUGUUGCGGAUGACCGUGCCCGGCUGCUUGCCCAGCGUGUAGAUGCCGCCCAUGUCGCUCAGUAUCGGGCCAUCACCGCCUGACUUAACCCCGAUGUGGUGAACAUGGUUGAGUUCGACGGCAUUGUUGCUCGCCAGCGAUGGCCCGUAACCCCAGGUCCAACCGAUCGAGAUACCCCUGUAGUC
rnacentral:rRNA from 1 species